AGCGUCCCUGCGUGCAGCACCUGAGUGAAGGUGCUCGGCGGCCGAUAGCGGGUUGCGGAGGCCGCCGGUUAAUUGGAGUAAUUGCUCCCCGGGUGGGACACGAAGUUGUCGGGAUAAACUUCCCCGAGCAGCCCCGCAUGCCGCCGCAGAGGGCCCGAAAAGGGAAGAAAUGAAGCUAAAAUGGAGGGUUUCAAGAUGAAAGCCGCCAAGUGCUGCUGCUGCUGCUGCGGGAGUUCAAACACUGAAAAAUUCAACAAAGCGCUGAUACGUUCCUCAGAGAUUUUGCUCCAUGUCAGCCUCACACAGUUACUGCAGAUUUGUCAGCUGCUCAUCCAAAUUUUCCCUUCGACCACAUCCCCAAAGGUGCUCUGCUAGACGGAGAUCUGGUGACUGUGGAGGCCAUGCAGAAUUUUUCAAAUCUUCUGCUGUCCAGAUUUGACCUUCACUGUAAACCUCAGAGGUGGUUGGCGGGAAGAUCCCAGCAGAUCAGCAGUUUCUGAAACACUCAGACUAAAAGCCAUGCCACGUUCACGCAGCUUUCUUUCCCAUUCUGAUGCUCAGUUUGAACUUCAGCAGCCUGUCAUCAUCAUGUCUACGUGCCUAAGUGCUUUGAGUUACUGACCUGUGACGGACUGAUUCAAUAU